rnacentral:tRNA from 1 species
GUCAAGUUAGUUUAACGAAAACGUCAGCCUGUGGAUUUGAAAAUGAAAGGUUUAUUUCACUUGACC